CAGGCGACCACGGUAGGGUCAGCGACUGGGGUGAAGUCGUAACAAGGUAGCCGUAGGGGAACCUGCGGCUGGAUCACCUCCUUU
rnacentral:rRNA from 1 species